CGUGAUCGCGGAACAGAGAUAGUAGUAAUAAAAAACUCAAUAGUGAGCAUCCUCACGCAUACCUACUCGCGCAACUGUACGGUCUCGAUUCACCGAUCUGAUUCCUCCAUUAAUGGAACGGAACACAAGCUCAAUUCCCUUUCCGUUUCGUUCCAAUUUUCGAAGCUGCCAACUUUUUCUCUCUUGUCUUCUACCAAAAAGCUCACUUUUUUAUUCACACUCAAUAAAAACUCAACUGUGUUAAUCUCUCUCUGUCGCUCUGUUAAUCUCACCGCCAUUGCCGUAUUAAAAUAUUCAUUUGUUUCUGACUACAGUUUGUACUGACCCUUUUCUUUUUUUCCCCUGUUUUAAUGGAAAAGUUGAGGUCUUUCAAAUCUCUGUCUCCAGUUCAUCAUCUUCAUCGUGCUAACUCUCCUUCACAUCCAAUAGAAGAACGUCAAAAUUUAUUGAAAGAAACCUCAAUACCCAGUGUGUCUAGUAGGGAUUCUCAAGCUAUGGAUGGAACUGAGGGUAAAGAAGUAGUCGUCAAAGCGAAUAUCAGAGAAACCCCAAAAACCUAUAAAGAAACAGAGCUCUCUUCUUCUUCAUCUUCUUCGAAAACCCAGUUGAGUAACAAUGCCAGUACAGAUGAGAGUAUACAGAAUAAGGUAUAUAGAGAUUCCAGUUACGAUUUCUCUAACGAUGCAGCAAUGAAACGCAUGAGGGAUAACAGCAAAGAUUUCGACUUCGUAACGGAAUCGCCAUUUUCACAGCCGUCUCCGUUAUCUAGGGUGGAAGAAAGCCCCAACCACGGCGUCCUUACGCCGAGGGAAGUUCGGGUUUCUUUCAAUGAGAACCUUGCCGGUAACGGAUCGGUUCGCCGGCGGUCCAAUUUGAGUACUGGACCGGGUUUACAAGAUGAGGUUGUGCUCAGUACCAGCUCUUCGUUUAGGAGAAAAUCGAAUCUUUUAGCUGCUACUAGAACAAAAUCGAGGUUAAUGGACCCACCUGAGCAAGAUCAAAGGUCACAGAAGAUUACUAUGAAAUCUGGGAUUUUAGGGAGAAGUACUGAAAUUGAAGAUGAUGACCCUUUUUCAGAUGAGGAUUUACCAGAAGAGUAUAAGAAAAUGAAGUUUAAUUUAUUCUCUGUUCUUCAGAUGGUGAGUUUGAUUUUGAUAAUUGCGGCUUUUGUUUGUAGUCUUACUAUUAGAAAAUUUAAGGGCAGGAGUAUAUUUGGGCUUGCAUUGUGGAAAUGGGAGUUAAUGGUUUUAGUGUUGAUUUGUGGAAGAUUGGUUUCUGGAUGGGGGAUUAGAUUGGCUGUAUUCUUUAUUGAGAGGAAUUUCGUGUUGCGUAAAAGGGUGUUGUAUUUUGUGUAUGGAUUGAGGAACUCAGUGCAGAAUUGCAUUUGGUUGAGUCUUGUUUUGAUUGCUUGGCAAUGUAUUUUUGAUAAGAAGGUUGAGAGUAUUACGAAUACGAAGGUAUUAAGGUAUGUGUCUCAGAUUUGGGUGUGUCUCUUGUUGGGAACAUUCAUUUGGUUGCUGAAGACACUGUUGGUGAAGGUUUUGGCUACGUCGUUUCAUGUUACUGCAUUUUUUGAUCGGAUUCAAGAAGCUUUGUUUACUCAGUAUGUGAUUGAGACGUUGUCUGGACCGCCAUUGGUUGAGAUUAAGAUGGAGCUAGAGGAGGAGGAGAGGGUUAUUGCUGAAGUGCAGAAGCUUCAGAGUGCUGGGGCUACACUGCCUCCUGAUCUCAAGGCCAGUAUAUUUCCAAAGAGACCGAUUGGGACUCCACGGAAGUCCACUGCUGCUGCUACUCCUAGGAGUCCUGUAUUUUCGAGAGCUGCUUCAAGAAAGGAAAAAGAAGAACAGGGAGGCAUAACUAUAGAUCAUCUACAUAGGCUGAAUCAGAAGAACAUUUCAGCUUGGAAUAUGAAAAGGUUGAUAAAUAUUGUUCGUAAAGGUGUGCUGUCAACUUUGGAUGAGAAGCUUGAGCAGUCAAAUGGCGACGAUGAAGCUGCAGUGCAAAUCACAAGUGAGAAACAGGCAAAAAUUGCUGCCAAGAAGGUUUUUAUUAAUGUGGCGAAGCCUGACUCAAAGUUCAUCUAUCUGGAGGAUGUAAUGCGUUUUAUGAGAGAAGAUGAAGCUUUGAAAACAAUGCAGCUCUUUGAAGGUGGAACUGAAGCCAAAGGAAUUAGUAAACGCGCGUUGAAAAAUUGGGUGGUGAAUGCGUUUAGAGAACGGAGAGCUCUUGCUUUGUCUUUGAACGACACAAAGACUGCCGUUAACAAACUACAUCACAUGUUGAACGUCUUAGUAGGGGUUAUCAUACUGGUCGUCUGGCUUCUUAUACUCAAAGUUGCCACUACACAUUUCCUGGUCUUUAUGAGCUCUCAAGUUCUUCUGGUCGUAUUCAUGUUUGGAAACACUGCCAAGACAACAUUCGAGGCAAUCAUAUUCUUAUUUGUGAUGCACCCAUUUGAUGUAGGUGAUCGUGUUGAAAUUGACGGAGUUCAUAUGAUUGUAGAAGAGAUGAAUAUAUUGACUACGGUUCUCCUGAGAUUUGAUAACCUGAAGAUCAUAUAUCCCAACAGUGUCUUAUCUACAAAGCCCAUAAGUAACUACUAUCGCAGUCCAGACAUGGGAGAUGCAAUUGAGUUCUGCAUUCACAUCUCAACUCCUAUGGAAAAAAUAGCAUCGAUGAAAGAGAAAAUAACAAGGUAUAUUCAGAACAAAAGUGAUCAUUGGUAUCCAGAUCCCUCAGUUGUGAUGAGGGAUGUUGAAGACUUGAACAGGAUAAAGUGGUCAGUAUGGAUUUCACACACAAUGAAUUUCCAAGACAUGGGAGAGAGAUGGGCAAGGAGAGCUCUUUUAAUUGAAGAAAUGGUUAAGAUAUUCAGAGAGCUAGAUAUCGAAUAUCGUAUGCUCCCUCUCGAUGUCAAUGUUCGUAAUAUGCCACAGAUAUCAUCGAGCAGAGUCCCUUCUAACUGGUCUCUUUGUGCUUAAUCAAUGAUUGAAACGUCUACUCAUCUGAUAAUUCUCACCAGAGACCAUUGAAGAAAGGGGCAGAAAUUAAAGACCAGCACAAAAUAGGAGAAGUUCAAAAUGAUCCAUUAAAUGGAUUGGGAAUGUCGAGUGCCUCAAUCUUUUGACGACAAAUUGAUAUGGAUGAUGACAACGAUGACGUCUUUCCGCUUUUUUAAGGUCUGAUAGAAGGAUGUGUAAAAAUUAGACUGUUAUACAUUCCCUUGCUUCUAUUAGGCAGUUUCUCUAAUCACAUAUGACUGUAAAUAACAAGUAUACCCUGUUUAUAUGACUGUUAAUAAUUGAAUAUGCAUAUUGAUAUGUCUUAUCUUGGUUGGGUCUUGAAUCUUGUGAUUUCCAUUAUGGAAUUUGUUUGG